rnacentral:rRNA from 1 species
GAUGAACGCUGGCGGCGUGCCUAACACAUGCAAGUCGAGCGGAAAGACCAUCAGCUUGUUGCUUUGAUGUUAGGGGCACCGGCGUGAGGAACACGAGGAUAACCCCCCUAUAAGACUGACAUGACUUCGAGAAUGCGGAGCUAAGACCAGAUACUAUUUUGAUCCGCAGGGGUCAUCAGUAAGAGACGGUCUUUCUGUCGGUUAUGGAUGGAUCCGCGCUGGAUUAGCUAGUUGGUAAGGUAACGGCCUACCAAGGCAACGAUGCGUAGCCGAACUGAGAGGGUGAUCGGCGACACUGGAAGUGAGACACGGUCCAGGCUCCUACGGGAGGCAGCAGUAGGGAAUCGGACGCAAUGGGCGAGAGCCUGACGGAGCAACGGCGCGUGAGUGAUGAGGAUGUCGGGAUCGUAAAACUCUGUUAUUAGUGAUGAACAAAUGUGUAAGUUACUGUGCACAUCUUGACGGUAACUAAUCAGAAAGCCACGGCUAACUACGUG